rnacentral:rRNA from 1 species
GAUGAACGCUGGCGGCGUGCCUAAUACAUGCAAGUCGAGCGAACAGACGAGGAGCUUGCUUCUCUGACGUUAGCGGCGGACGGGUGAGUAACACGUGGAUAACCUACCUAUAAGACUGGGAUAACUUCGGGAAACCGGAGCUAAUACCGGAUAAUAUAUUGAACCGCAUGGUUCAAAAGUGAAAGACGGUUUUGCUGUCACUUAUAGAUGGAUCCGCGCCGCAUUAGCUAGUUGGUAAGGUAACGGCUUACCAAGGCAACGAUGCGUAGCCGACCUGAGAGGGUGAUCGGCCACACUGGAACUGAGACACGGUCCAGACUCCUACGGGAGGCAGCAGUAGGGAAUCUUCCGCAAUGGGCGAAAGCCUGACGGAGCAACGCCGCGUGAGUGAUGAAGGUCUUCGGAUCGUAAAACUCUGUUAUUAGGGAAGAACAAAUGUGUAAGUAACUAUGCACGUCUUGACGGUACCUAAUCAGAAAGCCACGGCUAACUACGUG